rnacentral:rRNA from 1 species
GCCUCUUGGUCUGGGACAACUGUUGGAAACGACAGCUAAUACCGGAUAUUAUGAGAUUCUCGCAUGGGAAACUUAUGAAAGCUAUAUGCGCCAAGAGAGAGCCUUGCGUUCCAUUAGCUAGUUGGUGGGGUAACGGCCCACCAAGGCGACGAUGGAUAGCCGGCCUGAGAGGGUGAACGGCCACAAGGGGACUGAGACACGGCCCUUACUCCUACGGGAGGCAGCAGUGGGGAAUAUUGGACAAUGGGCCACAAGCCUGAUCCAGCAAUUCUGUGUGCACGAUGAAGGUCUUCGGAUUGUAAAGUGCUUUCAGUUGGGAAGAAGAAAGUGACGGUACCAACAGAAGAAGCGACGGCUAAAUACGUGCCAGCAGCCGCGGUAAUACGUAUGUCGCAAGCGUUAUCCGGAUUUAUUGGGCGUAAAGCGCGUCUAGGCGGAAAAAUAAGUCUGAUGUUAAAAUGCGGGGCUCAACUCCGUAUUGCGUUGGAAACUGUUUUUCUAGAGUACUGGAGAGGUGGGCGGAACUACAAGUGUAGAGGUGAAAUUCGUAGAUAUUUGUAGGAAUGCCGAUGGAGAAGUCAGCUCACUGGACAGAUACUGACGCUAAAGCGCGAAAGCGUGGGGAGCAAACAGGAUUAGAUAC